GCUUUUGUAGUUUUAGAAAAACGAGGGCUUUUCAAGCCCUAGACCCAAGUUAAACCCUUGGUAAAAGCA
rnacentral:tRNA from 1 species